rnacentral:rRNA from 1 species
GGGUUGUGAGGUUAAGCGACUAAGCGUACACGGUGGAUGCCCUGGCAGUCAGAGGCGAUGAAGGACGUGCUAAUCUGCGAAAAGCGUCGGUAAGGUGAUAUGAACCGUUACAGCCGGCGAUGUCCGAAUGGGGAAACCCAGUGUGAUUCGUCACACUAUCGUUAACUGAAUACAUAGGUUAACGAGGCGAACCGGGGGAACUGAAACAUCUAAGUACCCCGAGGAAAAGAAAUCAACCGAGAUUCCCCCAGUAGCGGCGAGCGAACGGGGAGCAGCCCAGAGUCUGAAUCAGCUUGUGUGUUAGUGGAACGGUCUGGAAAGUCCGACGGUACAGGGUGAUAGUCCCGUACACCAAAAUGCACAGGCUGUGAACUCGAAGAGUAGGGCGGGACACGUGGUAUCCUGUCUGAAUAUGGGGGGACCAUCCUCCAAGGCUAAAUACUCCUGACUGACCGAUAGUGAACCAGUACCGUGAGGGAAAGGCGAAAAGAACCCCGGCGAGGGGAGUGAAAAAGAACCUGAAACCGUGUACGUACAAGCAGUGGGAGCACCUUCGGGUGUGACUGCGUACCUUUUGUAUAAUGGGUCAGCGACUUAUAUUCUGUAGCAAGGUUAACCGUAUAGGGGAGCCGCAGGGAAACCGAGUCUUAACUGGGCGUUAAGUUGCAGGGUAUAGACCCGAAACCCGGUGAUCUAGCCAUGGGCAGGUUGAAGGUUGGGUAACACUAACUGGAGGACCGAACCGACUAAUGUUGAAAAAUUAGCGGAUGACUUGUGGCUGGGGGUGAAAGGCCAAUCAAACCGGGAGAUAGCUGGUUCUCCCCGAAAGCUAUUUAGGUAGCGCCUCGUGAAUUCAUCUUCGGGGGUAGAGCACUGUUUCGGCUAGGGGGUCAUCCCGACUUACCAACCCGAUGCAAACUACGAAUACCGAAGAAUGUUAUCACGGGAGACACACGGCGGGUGCUAACGUCCGUCGUGAAGAGGGAAACAACCCAGACCGCCAGCUAAGGUCCCAAAGUCACAGUUAAGUGGGAAACGAUGUGGGAAGGCACAGACAGCCAGGAUGUUGGCUUAGAAGCAGCCAUCAUUUAAAGAAAGCGUAAUAGCUCACUGGUCGAGUCGGCCUGCGCGGAAGAUGUAACGGGGCUAAACUGUGCACCGAAGCUGCGGCAGCGACACUAUGUGUUGUUGGGUAGGGGAGCGUUCUGUAAGCCUGCGAAGGUGGCCUGUGAGGGUUGCUGGAGGUAUCAGAAGUGCGAAUGCUGACAUAAGUAACGAUAAUGCGGGUGAAAAGCCCGCACGCCGGAAGACCAAGGGUUCCUGUCCAACGUUAAUCGGGGCAGGGUGAGUCGACCCCUAAGGCGAGGCCGAAAGGCGUAGUCGAUGGGAAACAGGUUAAUAUUCCUGUACUUGGUGUUACUGCGAAGGGGGACGGAGAAGGCUAUGUUAGCCGGGCGACGGUUGUCCCGGUUUAAGCAUGUAGGCGGAGGUUCCAGGUAAAUCCGGUACCUUUUUAACGCUGAGGUGUGAUGACGAGGCACUACGGUGCUGAAGUAACAAAUGCCCUGCUUCCAGGAAAAGCCUCUAAGCAUCAGGUAACAUUGAAUCGUACCCCAAACCGACACAGGUGGUCAGGUAGAGAAUACCAAGGCGCUUGAGAGAACUCGGGUGAAGGAACUAGGCAAAAUGGUGCCGUAACUUCGGGAGAAGGCACGCUGAUAUGUAGGUGAAGCCCCUGCGGGUGGAGCUGAAAUCAGUCGAAGAUACCAGCUGGCUGCAACUGUUUAUUAAAACACAGCACUGUGCAAACACGAAAGUGGACGUAUACGGUGUGACGCCUGCCCGGUGCCGGAAGGUUAAUUGAUGGGGUUAUCCGUAAGGAGAAGCUCUUGAUCGAAGCCCCGGUAAACGGCGGCCGUAACUAUAACGGUCCUAAGGUAGCGAAAUUCCUUGUCGGGUAAGUUCCGACCUGCACGAAUGGCGUAAUGAUGGCCAGGCUGUCUCCACCCGAGACUCAGUGAAAUUGAACUCGCUGUGAAGAUGCAGUGUACCCGCGGCAAGACGGAAAGACCCCGUGAACCUUUACUAUAGCUUGACACUGAACAUUGAGCCUUGAUGUGUAGGAUAGGUGGGAGGCUUUGAAGCGUGGACGCCAGUCUGCGUGGAGCCAACCUUGAAAUACCACCCUUUAAUGUUUGAUGUUCUAACGUUGGCCCCUUAUCGGGGUUGCGGACAGUGUCUGGUGGGUAGUUUGACUGGGGCGGUCUCCUCCCAAAGAGUAACGGAGGAGCACGAAGGUUAGCUAAUCCUGGUCGGACAUCAGGAGGUUAGUGCAAUGGCAUAAGCUAGCUUGACUGCGAGCGUGACGGCGCGAGCAGGUGCGAAAGCAGGUCAUAGUGAUCCGGUGGUUCUGAAUGGAAGGGCCAUCGCUCAACGGAUAAAAGGUACUCCGGGAUAACAGGCUGAUACCGCCCAAGAGUUCAUAUCGACGGCGGUGUUUGGCACCUCGAUGUCGGCUCAUCACAUCCUGGGGCUGAAGUAGGUCCCAAGGGUAUGGCUGUUCGCCAUUUAAAGUGGUACGCGAGCUGGGUUUAGAACGUCGUGAGACAGUUCGGUCCCUAUCUGCCGUGGGCGCUGGAGAAUUGAGGGGGGCUGCUCCUAGUACGAGAGGACCGGAGUGGACGCAUCACUGGUGUUCGGGUUGUCAUGCCAAUGGCAUUGCCCGGUAGCUAAAUGCGGAAGAGAUAAGUGCUGAAAGCAUCUAAGCACGAAACUUGCCCCGAGAUGAGUUCUCCCUGACUCCUUGAGAGUCCUGAAGGAACGUUAAAGACGAUGACGUUGAUAGGUCGGGUGUGUAAGCGUAGCGAUACGUUGAGCUAACCGAUACUAAUGAACCGUGAGGCUUAACCUUACAACGCCGAAGGUGUUU